UAACCGCAAGGCUUAAGAGGAGGGGUGAGAAAAAGUCGUAUAAAAGGCGAGAGAAAAGUCUACAGGAAUUAGUCGAGCGACUAUCUCCGACACGGUAAAAGCUGCAUUUCACUAUUUGUCAUUCAGCUGCAUUUCACUAUUUGCCAUUCAGCUGCAUUCUGCAUUCUUCAUCGUAUUAUUCAGUUCUCAAUCAUGGUCGUGUAUAAGGGCAAAGAAAAGGCUAAAGAAAUCAGUCGAGUGAGCAUCCGAUAUGCAAGAGCAACAGUGCACCAUUUGUCACCUUAACUGCAUUCUUCGUCGCGUUACCAGUUUCAAUCAUGGUUAAUUAUGGCGCCGUGCUGCCGAACAUCACUACUUACUAGUCGUCACCAACUGCGCUCUUCUUUACAUUUAUACACAUCUUUACCAACUGCAUUCUUCAUCGCAGUGCUAGUUUGAAAUCAUGGGUGUUGUAUCGUUGAUGGCUGGUUCAGCCACUGGUGUACCGAUGUCUCCUGGGUAUGGUGGAUAACAAAUCGCAACGCCGCCACCUUACUACACAACAUACGACACGAGCGGUUGCUACACUAAGGCCCCUAACUACUGCACCAAGGCUCCAGAAUAUUAUAUCACAACUUAUGCUUCCCUCAGCUACUACACCGAAUCCCCGCAGUAUUAUUCUUCCCCGAGCUACAUUAUCAAAGGGUCGAGUAAUACACCGACGUUCCGAAGUACUACACCACCACAUAUCAUGGUAUGAGAGGAGAGAAAAGGUGAAAUAAUUCAGCAGCCGAGUGAGCAUCUCCGUUACAGCAACAGUAACUGCCGUGCUCUAUUUGUCAUCAGUCUUCGUCGCAUUACAAGUUUUAAUUAAAGUGAACUAUGGCGUCGUGCUGCUAUUAGGUAUCGUAUCGUUGAUGGCUGGAUCGACCACUGGUGUGCCGAUUUCUCCUGGGUAUGGCGGGCAUCAACAACAAUAUACGCAACAACCGGAUACUACACUGAGCCCCCCAAGUGCUACACCACCAUGGCUCCAGAGUAUUACACAGUAACUUAUGCCAUCCCAGUUAUUGGCCCGAGCUACUACGCAGAAUCUCCGAAGUAUUUUUCUUCCCCGAACUUCACUAACUUCACAACGCCGCCUCCUUACUAAACAACAACGUCAACACCUACAUACUAACGAAGGCAGCGGAGUCCUACACCACGAAGGCAGCGGAGUCCUACACCACGAAGGCAGCGGAGUCCUACACCACGAAGGCAGCGGAGUCCUACACCACGAAGG